AUAAAAAGUGACAUUUCUACCAUGAUCAUGAAGGUGGUUUUUCCCAGGGCGAAGCUUAUCCAUUGCACUCCAGAUGUGCUGACCCCUGUGAUUUCCCCAAAUGUGGGAAACUCGAUUGCAUAAUUUGUGGUAGUGGGGGACUGCGUUUGCGCUCUUCCCUG
rnacentral:snRNA from 1 species